rnacentral:lncRNA from 1 species
CUUUGCUGUAUGUUUGGAUUUUGGAAAAAUAGUGUUUCUUCUGGAAAAUCCUGAGACGGAUAUUGCCAGAGCUUCAGCGAGAUAAUGGAUGAAAAACGUGAACUGCCAUGUUCUCCACUCAUGUGAUGCUUCGUUCUCUUGUCUCACCUACCCCAGAGCCCAUGCUUCUUCCUGAGAUCCUGGUCAAGUCAUUAUCCAUCACACCAGACUGGUGCAAUAUCACCCUGGAGUGCAGGGACCCAGGGAACAGAGAGGACCUGGAGGUGACCUGGGAGAGUGAGGGUCUUCCCAGGGAGCUGGAGUGGAGUGGGACACCAGGACCAGCCCCCAGCUCCUGGAGCCUGCAUGUGAACUUGUUCCUGAGCCAGCCCAAUGCCAGCCUCACCUGUGUGGUCAACAACCAUGUGGACAAGAAAAUUGCCACUGUAGACUUUGGGAAAGUCUGUUUCCCUGGUUCACAAGAACAGACCAUUGCUGGUCUCCUGGAAGGCAUCCUAUGGGCCGUCGUGGUUGUGCUAUUCUUCCUGGGAACUGGACUGUACUUUUGGAAGACAUAUAAGAAGGAAAGGAACACAGAGAAUGGAAGAGGAGCAGCAUUGCAGGAGGACCACAGGAACCAAGGUGAUGGCGACUGGGCAGAGCAGAGCCAGGAAGAGUUUCAAGAAGGCAUGUACCAGGCAGAUAUGAAGUCAGCUCACUCUGCAUCUCCAGAGCCUGUCCCAUGAGUGGCUUCAGUGGACAUAGGAUGGAUGGAGCUAAACAGAAAGGAUUCUCCUUGCUGUGCAUCUGCAUCCUGGGGAAGGGACAACAGAUGCUCCCUCCAGGUAUACAACCAGUCUUGAUGUCUUUAGGAUCUUCCUCUCCAUGGACACCUCAUUGCCCUCAAAUCACUGUAAGUCAGCAUCCCAAACACGACUAGACCUCCCAAAUGAAUAAUAACCAAGGUUGUAUAGAGAGUUCAGACAGUUAACAAACAUUUUGGCAUGUGUUUGAACUUACUUGCAGUGGUAGAAAUGCAAAUGUAAUGUGUAUCAAAAACUAUAAAUUUUUCAUGACAUUUGCUUCAUUAUACCUACCUGGGAAUAAAC